AAGAGGGGAAGCACGGCCGGGAGACGGGAUCGCAGCGCUCCCGGCCGGGAAAGAGGGCAGGCACCGCCGGGAGACGGGAUCAUGGGAUCCCGCGGCCGGGAAAGAGGGCAGGCACCGCCGGGAGACGGGAUCAUGGGAUCCCGCGGCCGGGAAAGAGGGCAGGCACCGCCGGGAGACGGGAUCAUGGGAUCCCGCGGCCGGGAAAGAGGGCAGGCACCGCCGGGAGGUGGGAUCGCACUGCCCUGCCCGGGAAAGAGGGUCCCCCUGCCCCAUGUGCUUCCCGCUGGACCCGCGGGAGGGAUCGUUCCUCUCCUCUGUCAGCCCUGCGGGAGAUGCGGCGGCCGGAACGCCCCGCAGAGUUAUGUGAAAUAGGUGCCUGGGAGCGGCUGUUGCUGGUUUUGUGUAUUUCGGCUUUUUUUUCCUUCUUCUUCGUCUUUUUUUUUUUUUUUUUUUUUUUUCCAGAACAGACAAUUGCUGUCAAAACAAUUCCAAGUAUUUUCACCGUUUCCUGCACGCGGUUGGGUAGUGCAAGAUAAUUUGUAGCAAGAAAGCUGCCGCCACACCUUGGGGCGCCAAAUAUGCUUGGAGUUCAGUUUUGCUUGCCACGACGAGGAAUCAAACACAGCAAGAUUUUAGCAUCAUGUAUUAGAGAAUACAUUUCUGCAUGAAGAGGAAAAGAGAGUAUGUGGCUGACAAGGGAAGGGAUGAUUUGCCAGAAGAGGGGGAUGUGAUUCUUCUCCUUUACUCAGCAUUGGUCAAGCCACACCUGGAGGGCUCAGCCCAGUUCUGAGCUUCCCAGUACAAGAGAGACAUGGACAUACUGGAAGAACCCAUCAAAUGGCCACCAAGAUUAUUUAGAGACUAGAGCACCUCUCCUGGAGAGAGACAGAGAGCUAGGACUGCUCAGGCCAAAGAGAAGGCUCAGAGACAUCUUACCUAUUAAUAAAAAUAUCUGAAAAGAGAGGGUAAAAGGAGGACAAUGCCAGUAUCUUUUCAGUGGAAUCCAGUUACAGGAACAGAGGCAAGGGAAACAAACUGAAAUAUAGGAGUUUCCUUCUGACCAGCAGGGAAAUUUUCGCUGUGAGAGUGACUGAACACUGGUGGAGGUUGUCUGUGGAGGCUGUGGAGUCUCCACCCUUGAAGUACUCCAUAGCCAUAUGGAUGUGCUCCUAGGAAUCUGGGUGUAGGAAGCCGUGCUUGAACAGAGAGAUUGGACAAGUGACCUCCAGAGGUACUUGCCGACCUCAACAAUGGUGUGAUUAUGUUGAAAAACCAAUCACACCCCCCCUCCAUUAAAAAAAAAAAGAAAACAACACAAAAUAACCAAACCCAACCCCAAAACACCCACCCAUUUUAAUGAGUCUAUCAGCAAAGCGUCCUUAUAUCCCCUAAAUAAGUAAGUACUCAUUCUGUGCCAGCUGAAGGUAAUACAACCCUUUAGUUUUUUUUCUAAUCUGCUUUGGGCAGUCUGCCAUUACUUGUAGGCAGCUUCAUGAAUGUCUUUAAUUAACCUCAGCUUGUCUGCGAGGAUUUCAGGGUCCCUCUCAUUGCUGAUCCUCCUGGGGAGCUGUAUGAGGUGGCUGUCCCUGGCUGCUAGAGAGCAGCACCUCUGACCAGCACAGCCAGAAAGGCAGGGAGGUGGCUGGGCAGGUGUGCAACUUCCAGGUCUGCAAGCUUCAAACCAGUAAAUUCUGGAAAUAAUUAACAGGCAGUGCCAGCCAACAAGCGCAGCCGUUGUGGCGCUUCCUUUGGAGGGCACUUUAAUGGAUUUAACAGCAAGUGAAUUGCAUCAUGUACAGCUUUCCAGGGCUUUUAAAGAUGAAAUCCCUAAAGCAUGGUCUGCUAGCAAUAUAAUCUCAAAGUAGAAAAGGCAUUCUCAUAGAGAGUGGGAGAGCCUUCCCCAAACAUGUACAAAUGCCAAUCACUAAGUACUAGCAGCUUUUGGAAACGCUAAGUACCAAGAAAAGCCAGGAAUUCAGUUUCACAGUUUCCCUCCCCAGACUGUCUGCACUUUGCAGCAAGUUUGCGCCUGGGGGCUGAUUUAAAUUUUUGUUUUGUCUUGCUUUACAACAGAAAUAACAAUUCUUAAUUGAUAUUAAUUAUCCAUUACAUAGUAUUAUACCAUACUGGCAUUCUAAUUAACUUGUAAAAUUCAGUCCAGAAUACUUAAGCAAGUAAUUUAAUAGGAUUCACAAAACACACACCACAGACUCGUAAGGAGAUCAUUCCUUCUAUUCCAGUAUAAUGCAGGCUAUGACAAUUUUCUUCCUAUGCAGUUUAAAGAAAAUAUGGUAAUCUGCCUACUUAUUUCAGCUUACAAACCCAUCACAAAGUUUAACAUUGUGCUGCUAAUGUACUUGGCAUCAGGUACAGAAGUGCCAUUAUCCCCAGCAGGCAAGUCAGGAAAUAGAGACAGAGACUCUGAAAUUAAAUUCACAAAGGAAGUGUGUGGCAAAACAGGGAAUUUGGACUCCAUGUCUCCAGACCAGCAUAUUAAUCACAAAAUUCAUGCUUUUUUUUUUUUUAACUCUCAUCUCUCCCUUUAAGACCAGUGUAAAAUGCAGUUUUAAGCAGGCAUAUGCUUUUGAUGUUCUGUUUCCAGACUACUUUACAUUUUCCAUCACUGUUGAAAUACCAAACUUAUUGUACUGCAGCUGGCAGUAACGCUUUAGUGACAUGGACUCAGCAGUGCCAGGUUAAUGGUUGGACUCUUUGAUCUCUGA